rnacentral:lncRNA from 1 species
GCCUUGCGCGCGGGGUUGGCUGCCGGGAGGUCGACGCUAGUGCGGUCCCCCGCGCGGCGGAGGGGCCCGGGCCGCGGUAUCUGCGCACUGAGACGUCGGCGGAAGGCUAGAGGCCGUGCUCUCGCCCCCGCAGAAGGCCACCACUCCUUGAGAAGGCCGGAGGGACAAAGCACCGGGCCUGCGCCGGGGGCAUUCAAGAAGGAAGCCAGGCCCGACCGGGGGUGGCGCACGCUUCCCGAACCCCAGGCCCACGGCCCGGUUCCGCGCGGGCAGUUGGCGCCCCCUCGGGUCGGCACAGCAGACCUCUUAGUAAUGGUCCCCAGGGAGUACAGGGACUGAGAAACGGAAAUACUACCAUCCUCCAGCCAAUCUGUUGGGAGGACUGCUUGCAGAGGACUCGUGCUCCAGAUGUUGCACUAGAGGCGCUGCAAGUGUGAGCAGCAGGUAGAUGAAACUCAAGAGAAAAGGUGUGGAUAAAUGAAACUAGCCCAUGAUGAACCUGUUUUCUCCGUGACCACAAUAUUAACCAGGAUGAAUGGCGGUGGCAGUGGGCCUGCAUCACAGGUUGCAGCAGAUGUUCUCAAUAUUUCUAUUAAAAUUUCCUUAUUUCCAUAUGCAAGAGGAGCCCCAGAGCUGCAUCCUUAUGGUAGCUACCAUGCCGUGAUGUAAGCUGCCAUUCACUGGGGAGCUUUGGCAAUAGAAUUGGCUAGAUCAGGAAGCCUAUGUCAACUAUGGAACAACAACUUGCAGCUCAUCUCUAUUGAUGAUACACUGCCUCUAGGACUGGGACAGAUAGCCACUGAGUACCUGCUUCAAAUCACCCUGCACGUUUUCUCUUUGGAAAGAUAAGCACUGGAGAACCAUCUCGUUACCUUCAGCAGAAAUGGAAACAAAUCAAGACAUUAAGAAUGCCGCAGUGGACAGCAGUUAUGCAAGGUUCAGCAGAGGAAGUUUUCAAGAUGGUGUGCCUCACUAGCCAGAAAUCAGAAAAGAUCGAAGCUAGCCUUUUCAUCUCAGCUGCUCCUUAAAUCAGUGCAACCCCUCCAAAUUAAUGUGAAUUGAAACUUGCAUUGCUUUUCAACUUAAUUGAAUACUUACUAUAUGUGAACCACUGCACAAAAUAGGGGAAGAAGAUGUGGGAGACAAAGAUGUGGAGCCUGUCUUCAAUAAAUUUACAGUUAGUUUCAGGGUACAUUGUUUUUCUUCUGCUGUUAAUUAGGUGUAUCCCCAAGACAAUAAAUACAUGAAUGGAAAAGUAUAUUCUGUGUUUUAAGUCUCUUUAAUAAAAAACAAAACAAAAUCCAAAAAAACUCCUAACAUGGCAACUCAGGACAUUUUAAUCCUUUUUUUUGUUGUUGGGCUUCUGAUAGGAUCCAUUUUAUUGAUUCCAUAAAUAUUUAGUAGACUUUAGACAUAUUAAUACAUUGUAGUUUGAGUUAAUUUGCAUUAAAUUCUGUUUUUUUCCCCUUAGGUAUAGAUUGUCUGUUGGAAAAAUAUAUUGCUUGUGGAUUUCUUGGGGAGUGGGAAGGUGAAUUAUACCUGUUGUCUCUACAGUCCACUACCUUCCACACCCUAGGGCAGUGGUCCCCAACCUUCUUGGCACCAGGGAUCAGUUUCCUGGAAGACAAUUUUUCUGUGGAUGGUGUGGGGAUGGUUUUGGGAUGGAACUGUUCCACCUCAGAUCAUCAGGCAUUAGUUAGGCUCUCAUAACGAGUGCGCAGCCUAGAUCCCUCACAUGCACAGUUCACAGUAGGGUUUGCGCUGCUAUGAGAAUCUAAGGCUGCCACUGAUCUGACAGGAGGCAGAACUCAGGUGGCAAUGCUUACUGGCCCACUGCUCACCUCUUGCUGUGCGGCCUGGUUCCUAAUAGGCCAUGGACCCCCACAGACGGGUACUAGUCUGCAGCCUGUGGACCCCAGCCCUAGGGGCCUGCCAUUCUGAGUGAGUUAUUAGCAUGAAGAAGAGGAAGAUCUGGAUCAAACGUGGGUGAUGGUACUCAGAGACCCAAGAUAGGAUAGGGAUGGAACAAAAUCCAUCUGGGCAACGGCUCUAUGAAAAUUUGGCUAAGUAAUUAUUUCAGUAUUCAUUGUAUUCAUUGUCCUUCGUGUUCCAUAAGUUAAAUGACUGUCUAAUUUUUCCAAAAAUUUAUUUCUGACUUGAGAAUAAGUGUGUCAUGAUUUUCCCAGUGUAAAGACACUGAUAUAACUGUAGAUACCAGACAUUUUAUGUAGUGUCUAUGACACAUUUUAGUAUGUAUGAGCCAACAAUAGACAUGUCUUUGUCUUGAGGAGUGUCCAUCUGAAUUGAAAAUGUGUCAGCUUUUUUUUAACAUCAUCAACAGACUUCUUAAUUAAGCUGCCAAUACAUACUGCCAAUAGCACUGUGUGCUGUCUGAGAAAUGCAUUGUGUAAGUGCUAUUUCCAUCUUAUUAAAUAAACAAUGUUGCUCUGUAUAAACUGGAUUUAAAGUGUUCUUUGAAUGAGGCAUUAUAUUGCUCCAUAAAUAAUGUGAUGUGAAUUCUCAUAUGAUCCCUUUUAACUUAAUUUCUAAAAAAAUAUUAUUUGCUCCUCAGUAAGGAAUAGCUCUAAUUGGACUGGUAACUUUAGUGAUAUGAUUUGUCUGUAACAGGCUGAAUCGCCCCACUCCCAAACUCCUGGUCGUGAUACUGGAUAUUUGUUAUGCCACUUUUAGUUUGCAUGAGGUAUCUUCCAGGAAGUAUUAGUUAUUAACUUGUGUUCUACUAAACUGUAGAUAUUUAUUUCCUGUUCUGGAAGAUUUCUUGGAGUGUCCAUCUGUGCAUUCCUGGUGCCUAGUGUAGUCUUGCUAAUGGAAUAGCACCUUUAUUGGUGCUACUUAGGGGUUGGUAGCUUACAAUCAAUCUACUUGGAACGUAUCCAAAUAAACUGGAUAUUUUUAUACA